CGUUCUGAGAUCAGUCGAGAUUACCCGCUGAACUUAAGCAUAUCACUAAGCGGAGGAAAAGAAACUAACCAGGAUUCCCCUAGUAAUGGCGAAUGAACAGGGAAGAGCUCAAGCUUGAAUCUUCGGAAUUGUAGUCUAUAGGCAGCAUCUCGUGCAGACCCGGGUAUAAAUCCGUUCUUGGAACUGGGUGCCAGAGAGGGUUAGAGCCCCGUCUUUGACUCGGUGUAUGCGCGUGGUGAGUGCUUGCCAGAGAGUCGGCUUGCUUGGGAAUGCAGGUCAAAAUGGGUGGUAAA
rnacentral:rRNA from 1 species